rnacentral:misc_RNA from 1 species
GAUGAAGAACGUAGCAAAAUGCGAUACUUGGUGUGAAUUGCAGAAUCCCGUGAACCAUCGAGUUUUUGAACGCAAGUUGCGCCCGAAGCCUUUUGGCCGAGGGCACGUCUGCCUGGGCGUCACGCAUCGCGUCGCCCCCCACAAUUCUCCGUAAAAGGAACAUGUGUUUUGGGGGCGGAUAUUGGUCUACCGUGCUCAUGGCGUGGUUGGCCGAAAUAGGAGUCCUUUCGAUGGACGCACGAACUAGUGGUGGUCGUAAAAACCCUCGUCUUUUGUUUCGUGCUGUUGCUCGCAAGGUAAACUCUUUAAAAACCCCAAUGUGUCGUCUCUUGACGACGCUUCGACCGCGACCCCAGGUCAGGCGGGACUACCCGCUGAGUUUAAGCAUAUCAAUAAGCGGAGGA